rnacentral:lncRNA from 1 species
CGACCUUGGAACGUCCGACCUCAGAACCUCCGACCCGGAAAACUCCCGACUCCCAAGGUCUGUUCUUGUCGACCACCUGCUACGGCCGUACCCCUCCGAGGUCCGGCCGAGGGCCAUAUCCUGCCACUGCCCCAACAUUUAUUGCACACGGCCCCUGCAAACCUCCGGUUCACUCAACAAUUAAUGCGGAUCUCCGGCUCACUCAACAAUUAAUGCGGAUCUCCGGCUCACUCAACAAUUAAUGCGGAUCUCCGGCUUACUCCACAAUUAAUGCACAUGGCUCCUGUUAUCUACGGACCCGCAGCUCUCCACGGCAAGUCAGCCCGGCAGAGUCCCAUCAACCAUGAUAAGUCUCUGAUCUCGGCCUUACCUCCGACAUCGAUGCCAUGAUUCGCCCGAUCG